UUUUGUAAAUCCCGUGUUGGGAAGAGUUUUGGGCUGGAUCGACACUUAAGCACAUGUUAAUCAUAUCUAUUAUUGUCAACCAGGUAUGUUGUCCCUUUUUGUAAAUCCCGUGUUGGGAAGAGAUUAAACGGAGAGCGCCUCCGAACGUU